rnacentral:rRNA from 1 species
ACUUAAGCAUAUCAAUAAGGCGGGAGGAA